rnacentral:lncRNA from 1 species
CAAAAAAGAAACAAGAAAUGGAUAUCUAGAGCUCUCAGAGGAUGCCUCAGGCAAUCAGACUCUCUCGAGCUCUCUAGCUGGCUCCUGGUUCCAUAAGACCAGACUAUUUGAUCUACCUUGUUUCAUCAUACGUUCUCAAUCAUUGGCUUUAAGAAGCCAUCUCAAAUGCACACUGAGGCUUCAAAGGAACUGUCAGCAGCCUGCGAGUUUUCCUUCCACAAGGGACAGAGGAGACAUUGAAACAUUCAGUCAACAGUGUUUGCCACUCAGGUGUGGCCUGACGACCCCGGUCUCUGGGUCAGUGCCCCUCAAGGACGACUGGUCUCGACUGGACUCUUGGCGAAUGACAGCUCCUCCUGCUGCCAACAUCCAAGCUCAUCUGUGCCUCCAGCCAUGAAGAUCACUGCCCAUGGCAGUCUCCUCUUGCCAGCUCAGUCCUCAGCCAGCUCAUGGUCCUCUCAGCAGCUCUGUGUCUGCUCUGGGGGUGGGCCUGGGCCUUUUUCCCCCACCGUAUGCUCUGCACCUGUCAUGGCCACCAGCAUAGAAGUGAAUGAAUCCUUCAAAAUUCAGCUGAAAUAUUGAACUCUUCGCCAAUGUGUCCACCGUUUCCUCCUACUGCUUCCUCUGUGCUCUGGUAAGAAGAUCAUCUUGCUGCUACACGGAGCAUUUUUUGGCUUCUAUUCCAGCCCCUGCAUGCAUCUCAUCUCUCCUACGUUAUCAAUCCCACCUCUCCCCCACUGCCCAGGUGGGGGCUUCCCAAGGCCACCCUCAGAUCCUUGCCAUGUACAUGUUACGCUCAAUAAAUAUUAAAAUUAGUUGAAGUUGUGUUCUGUCUAAUUAACUAGAUUUCUAUUUUAAAGUAACACCAUGGGCAUUUCAUAAAAUAAUCAUAUGACAGAGAUGAGUAUAAGAUGAACAGUACAUCUCCACUCAGCCUCAAACAGUGCAGGGUAGUCUCUUGUUUGUAGGAACUUUUAUGUUUUUCCUAGUAUUUUACUCUUCCAGUUCGUUUUUGAAUGAGAAUAUAAAGUAUCUCUGAGUUGGGAAAAGAGAAAAUUUAUACGAGAAUUUUCUAGGGGAAGAAGAGCAGGAAGGAAUUACAGACAGAGUCACAUUUGCAAAAUCACCUGUUGGAGUAUAAGAAGGAAAGAGGAGCCCGGCCAACCCCAUGUAUAAAUUUCAUUUUGAAGGCAAUGACAACCCUGCUUCAUCAGUUUCCUACAGACAAAUGCAUAUCUCAGCUUUCCAGCAGAAUCAAAAUCUCACAAAUGUCCCCUCUGAGGACUGUCUGAGCCCUGCCUUGCCAUUUGUCUGCAAAUGGUUUCUGACAUAGAACCCAAACCAAAUGACCAAUCCAACACUUCUGGGAUGAAAAAGAAAAUUCAGAAUGGUGACAAUGAAUUGGGAAGUUCAGAUUCUGUGCUGUGUGUUGUGUUGAAAAAAUUGACACUAAAUCUUUUAAUGUCCUUUUCACAUCAAAGUUCCAUGUGUUUCCUCCAGUCAUUCCGGGAUUCUACACACAAAGACAUUUUUCAGAGAAGGGUUAGGAGAAAAGAAGAGGCAGGAAAGGCAUUCUCUCCUACUAAGUUAGUGAAAAACCCUC